rnacentral:rRNA from 1 species
CCUACGGGUGGCAGCAGUGAGGAAUAUUGGUCAAUGGACGAGCGUCUGAACCAGCCAAGUAGCGUGAAGGAUGACUGCCCUAUGGGUUGUAAACUUCUUUUAUAAAGGAAUAAAACGAGGCACGUGUGCCUUUUUGCAUGUACUUUAUGAAUAAGGAUCGGCUAACUCCGUGCCAGCAGCCGCGGUAAUACGGAGGAUCCGAUCGUUAUCCGGAUUUAUUGGGUUUAAAGGGAGCGUAGAUGGGUUGUUAAGUCAGUUGUGAAAGUUUGCGGCCUAACCGUAAAAUUGCAAUUGAUACUGGCAUUCGUGAGUAUAGGAGAGGUAGGCGGAAUUCGUGGUGUAGCGGUGAAAUGCAUAGAUAUGACGAAGAACCCCGAGUGCGAAGGCAGCUUACUAAACUGUGACUGACAUUGAUGCGCGAAAGUGUGGGUAUCAAACAGGAUUAGAUACCCCGGUAGUC